rnacentral:misc_RNA from 1 species
GAAUUGAACAUUGGGGGUAGUACUGUUGUAGCAGCACUAGAGGAGGCAUGCGGGACAAAGAAAUCAAAAGUACGAGAACUAUACAACAGCCUCGGUGAUCUUGGUGAUGUUGCUCAACUUUGCCGACAAACACAAUCAUUACUUGCUCCUCCAGUGGCACUUACAGUUAGGGGUGUAUACUCUGCUCUUAGAAGGAUAAGCUUGCAAGCAGGUAGUGGGAGCGCCAUCCGAAAGAAAAGCCUGAUUGUCAAUCUCAUGUGUUCAUGUAGAGAGAAGGAGAUGAAGUUUCUUGUGAGAACAUUGGUUCGGAAUUUGCGCAUUGGAGCCAUGAUGAGAACUGUUCUUCCUGCAUUAGCUCAAGCAGUUGUGUUCAAUUCUACUCCUUAUGAG